rnacentral:lncRNA from 1 species
UGACCUGUAUUUUUGUUACACGCUGUAUAUGUGUAAAUUUUUUGGAGAAGGAAGCUUGCGGAGUAAUUAUUAAUUAGGUAUAUUUACUGGGAGAUACAAUUCAUAUGCAACACUUCGUGACAACCAUUUUAUUAGACUACUUCUACUGUCAAUAUUGCCAACCUAAUUUACAUGUUUUUGGGGAUCAGGAUAGCCAACAUUUCAAUACCCCCUCUCAAUUUAUACAACAUUUACAUAAAUAGUAAAUUUGGAUGAAUUGUCAACUAAACAACAAUCUUGACUCUAACCAAGUCUUGACAAUAAUUGAACAAAACGAAAUCAUACAAACAUACUUAUACAUCCUACAUUACUCAGGUUACAACUCAUACCUA